AACAGGAUUAGAUACCCUGGUAGUCCACGCCGUAAACGAUGUCGACUUGGAGGUUGUUCCCUUGAGGAGUGGCUUCCGGAGCUAACGCGUUAAGUCGACCGCCUGGGGAGUACGGCCGCAAGGUUAAAACUCAAAUGAAUUGACGGGGGCCCGCACAAGCGGUGGAGCAUGUGGUUUAAUUCGAUGCAACGCGAAGAACCUUACCUACUCUUGACAUCCAGAGAACUUAGCAGAGAUGCUUUGGUGCCUUCGGGAACUCUGAGACAGGUGCUGCAUGGCUGUCGUCAGCUCGUGUUGUGAAAUGUUGGGUUAAGUCCCGCAACGAGCGCAACCCUUAUCCUUUGUUGCCAGCGGUUCGGCCGGGAACUCAAAGGAGACUGCCAGUGAUAAACUGGAGGAAGGUGGGGAUGACGUCAAGUCAUCAUGGCCCUUACGAGUAGGGCUACACACGUGCUACAAUGGCGCAUACAAAGAGAAGCGACCUCGCGAGAGCAAGCGGACCUCAUAAAGUGCGUCGUAGUCCGGAUCGGAGUCUGCAACUCGACUCCGUGAAGUCGGAAUCGCUAGUAAUCGUAGAUCAGAAUGCUACGGUGAAUACGUUCCCGGGCCUUGUGCACACCGCCCGUCACACCAUGGGAGUGGGUUGCAAAAGAAGUAGGUAGCUUAACCUUCGGGAGGGCGCUUACCACUUUGUGAUUCAUGACUGGGGUGAAGUCGUAACAAGGUAACC
rnacentral:rRNA from 1 species